rnacentral:rRNA from 1 species
UACGAAGGGGGCUAGCGUUGCUCGGAAUGACUGGGCGUAAAGGGCGCGUAGGCGGAUGGCACAGUCAGAUGUGAAAUUCCCGGGCUUAACCUGGGGGCUGCAUUUGAUACGUGUGAUCUAGAGUGAGGAAGAGGGUCGUGGAAUUCCCAGUGUAGAGGUGAAAUUCGUAGAUAUUGGGAAGAACACCGGUGGCGAAGGCGGCGACCUGGUCCUUGACUGACGCUGAGACGCGAAAGCGUGGGGAGCAAACAGG